GAUGAACGCUGGCGGCGUGCCUAAUACAUGCAAGUCGAGCGAACAGACGAGGAGCUUGCUCCUCUGACGUUAGCGGCGGACGGGUGAGUAACACGUGGAUAACCUACCUAUAAGACUGGGAUAACUUCGGGAAACCGGAGCUAAUACCGGAUAAUAUAUUGAACCGCAUGGUUCAAUAGUGAAAGACGGUUUUGCUGUCACUUAUAGAUGGAUCCGCGCCGCAUUAGCUAGUUGGUAAGGUAACGGCUUACCAGGGCAACGAUGCGUAGCCGACCUGAGAGGGUGAUCGGCCACACUGGAACUGAGACACGGUCCAGACUCCUACGGGAGGCAGCAGUAGGGAAUCUUCCGCAAUGGGCGAAAGCCUGACGGAGCAACGCCGCGUGAGUGAUGAAGGUCUUCGGAUCGUAAAACUCUGUUAGUAGGGAAGAACAAAUGUGUAAGUAACUAUGCACGUCUUGACGGUACCUAAUCAGAAAGCCACGGCUAACUACGUG
rnacentral:rRNA from 1 species